GCUCGGACUACAAGUCCCACAAUGCACCGCCCGCCCUUUUCUUGCCGCCCCCCGCCUCUACUCUCCGGAGACCCUGCGGAGCGAGCGCCGCGACCCCUUCCCGGCGCUCUUCGCGCGGUCUCGCGGACUCUGGUGCGUGGGGUCAAGGCGCGGGGCAGAGCUGCUGGGUCGGGGCGUCAUGCGGAGGGGUGAGCGCAAGGGCGCCGAGGGGCCGCGGCCGGGGUCCCCUGUGCCCGUGGGCAAGGCCUCGCUGGAGGAGCCGCUGGACGGCGCGGCCGCGGGCCGAGCGAGCGGGCCGGCCGCUGGCCGCCGCAGCACCGAGUCAGAGGUCUACGACGACGGCACCAACACCUUCUUCUGGCGGGCCCACACCCUGAGCGUGCUCUUCAUCCUCACCUGCGUGCUGGGCUACGUGACGCUGCUGGAGGAGACACCGCGGGACACGGCCUACAACACCAAGAGAGGUAUUGUGGCCAGUAUUUUGGUUUUCUUAUGUUUUGGAGUCACACAAGCUAAAGACGGGCCAUUUUCCAGACCUCAUCCAGCCUACUGGAGGUUUUGGCUCUGCGUCAGUGUGGUCUACGAGCUGGUUCUCAUCUUUAUACUCUUCCAGACCGUCCAGGACGGCCGCCAGUUUCUGAAGUACGUCGACCCCAGGUUGGGGGUCCCGCUGCCGGAGAGGGACUACGGGGGAAACUGCCUCAUCUAUGAUGCAGACAACAAGACCGACCCCUUCCACAACGUCUGGGACAAGCUGGACGGCUUCGUGCCCGCACACUUCAUCGGCUGGUACCUGAAGACCCUGAUGAUCCGUGACUGGUGGAUGUGCACCAUCGUGAGUGUGAUGUUUGAGUUCCUGGAAUACAGCCUGGAGCAUCAGCUGCCCAACUUCAGCGAGUGCUGGUGGGACCACUGGAUCAUGGACGUGCUCGUCUGCAACGGGCUGGGCAUCUACUGCGGCAUGAAGACCCUCGAGUGGCUGUCCCUGAAGACAUACAAGUGGCAGGGCCUCUGGAACAUUCCGACCUACAAGGGCAAGAUGAAGAGGAUCGUCUUCCAGUUCACGCCCUACAGCUGGGUCCGCUUCGAGUGGAAGCCGGCCUCCAGCCUGCGCCGCUGGCUGGCCGUGUGCGGCAUCAUCCUGGUGGUAAGGCCUGUGGCCUCCUGCACGCCCCGCCCCUCCCCCCCGCCCCCCCCCCGGCCCCGGGCGCCCUCCACCCUCCUCUGCCCCCAGUUUCUGUUGGCAGAGCUGAACACUUUCUACCUGAAGUUCGUGCUGUGGAUGCCCCCCGAGCACUACCUGGUCCUCCUGCGGCUAGUCUUCUUCGUCAACGUGGGCGGCGUGGCCAUGCGGGAGAUCUACGACUUCAUGGACGACCCGAAGCUCCACAAGAAGCUGGGCCAGCAGGCCUGGCUGGUGGCGGCCAUCACCGUCACGGAGCUGCUCAUCGUGGUGAAGUACGACCCGCACACGCUCGCGCUGUCCCUGCCCUUCUACAUCGCCCAGUGCUGGACGCUCGGCUCCGUGCUCGCCCUCACCUGGACCGUCUGGCGCUUCUUCCUGCGGGACAUCACCCUGAGGUACAAGGAGACGCGGCGGCAGAAGCAGCAGGGCAGGGACGACCAGGGCAGGGCGGACGGCAGCGUGGACGGGCGCCCACCAGGGCCCGACGACCCCUCGGGGCCCGAGGAGGCCGAGAGGGAGGGGGUGCCAGCACCGCACUGACGCUGCGGCUGGGCCUGCAGAGCCCAGGCCUGGCGCCCUCCACCCUCUGGGAUUCCCGCCAGGAGCCUUCCAGCAGGCCUCAGCCCUCAAGGUUCUAUCUCCCUUUUCUCCCGCGUGCACAGUGGGGUGGGGCGCGUGUGUGUGUGGUGUGUGCACACGUGUGGGUGCGUGUGUGUGCGCACGUGUGCUCCUGAGGCUCUGGGGCUCGCCCUGGGCCGGCUGGUCCCCCUUCUGCGCAGUCAGCCCGCCGCCUUGGCCACCCCGAGCCUUGGUGCCCAGACGGCCCGGCCCAGGCAGCAGCGUCUCGGUGCCCCUCUCCACUCCCUGGGCCCCGCCGGUCCCCCACGACCUUCUGGCGGCACAUGUGAAGGACAGUCGUCCAGGGACGCCCUGACGUGGCUGGGAAAGGGCAGAUCCACUUCCUCGGGAGCCUCCAUCUGACCCUCCAACCUGGGGGGACUGGAGGCCCGCGUUGCUCACCAGUCCCAGGCGUGGCCCCCGGGAGCGGUUUCUGGCCCAAGGUGGGUGCAGGUUCCCCUGGAGCGUCUCCCACCCAGACCUGGGUGGGUCCACCCACUUCUCCACAGAUCCUGCUCCCUUCCCGGGGAAGGUGUUACAAAGCCAGGGUCCUGGGUACCUUGAGGGCUUUGUAGUGAUGGCAGGAAGCUACUGCCCAGGCGCCAGACCCUUUGAAAGCUGCCCAGUGUCUACACCUUUGAUGUGCUGCUCAGGGCAGGCCACCCCUACGCUGUCCACCCACGGCCAGACGAGGCCAGCUAGACGGGGUGGACCCUGCCCUUAUGUCCACAGGGCUCCGGCCUCCACCAGGAGAGCGCUCGGGAGCCAGCCGUCGGCAGGCUCGGCCCGGCCCGGCCCUGGGAGCAGCUCCCAGCUGGGGUUUCCGGCGCGCACACAGGAGGUCCGAGCACGCUGCCAACCAAUGACCGACACUGCUGGCCAAGGUGAGCCAGGCCCCGAGGGCAGGGGCCACGUUCUGGUGCCCCGUAGUGCAGGCGGGACGCCGUCCUCGCAGACAUGAGGCAGUGAAGGCCUGUAGGAUGGGUGGCUUCCGAGGCCGCACGGAGCAGGACCCCACCAGCACCUGGGGAGCUCAGACCAGACCCCCACGGAGGGCCCCGCUGGGCACACCCGCCACCAGGCCCGGACCAAGAGGACAGACAAAGACCCUCCUGCCAGAAAAGCGUUUUAAUAAAGUGGCUAAAAUGCUCUCCCAAAAAUGAGCUGAUUUAAGCUCUUCUCUCGGUUAAAGCCAGGACUCCUCGGGGGAGGAGGGCCGUCCGGGGAGGGGCGUCAGAAGACGAUCCGUAGGCCGGGCUUGCUCCCCUCCAGGGCCCGCAGGCGCUCCUCCACCGCCUCCGUCCAGUAGAUGUCGUACAGG